GGCGCGGUGAUGAUUGCAGCCAAACAUUUCUGACACCUCUUGUGCGAGGGCUCCGCAAGGAGCUCGCUGAACGUACUAUGCUGACACAACUGAGCGCC
rnacentral:snoRNA from 1 species